rnacentral:rRNA from 1 species
UACGUAGGGGGCGAGCGUUGUCCGGAUUCAUUGGGCGUAAAGGGUGCGUAGGUGGCGCGCUAAGUCAGGUGUGAAAUUUCGGAGCUUAACUCCGAAACUGCAUUCGAUACUGCCGUGCUUGAGGACUGGAGAGGAGACUGGAAUUUACGGUGUAGCGGUGAAAUGCGUAGAUAUCGUAAGGAAGACCAGUGGCGAAGGCGGGUCUCUGGACAGUUCCUGACGCUGAGGCACGAAAGCGUGGGGAGCAAACAGG